rnacentral:rRNA from 1 species
AUUGAACGCUGGCGGCAGGCUUAACACAUGCAAGUCGAGCGGGGUGAUGGUGCUUGCACUAUCACUUAGCGGCGGACGGGUGAGUAAUGCUUAGGAAUCUGCCUAUUAGUGGGGGACAACAUCUCGAAAGGGAUGCUAAUACCGCAUACGUCCUACGGGAGAAAGCAGGGGAUCGCUUGUGACCUUGCGCUAAUAGAUGAGCCUAAGUCGGAUUAGCUAGUUGGUGGGGUAAAGGCCUACCAAGGCGACGAUCUGUAGAUGGUCUGAGAGGAUAAUCCGGCAUACUGGGACUGAGACACGGCCCAGGCUACGACGGGAGGUAGCAGUGGGGAAUAUUGGACAAUGGGGGGAACCCUGAUCCAGCCAUGCCGCGUGUGUGAAGAAGGCCUUAUGGUUGUAAAGCACUGUAAGCGAGGAGGAUGCUCUUUUGGUUAAUACCCAAGAUGAGUGGACGUUACUCGCAGAAUAAGCACCGGCUAACUCUGUGCCAGCCGCCGCCGUAA